rnacentral:lncRNA from 1 species
CCACAGAAAUAUCGUCCGCUUCGAACCAGCUUGGUUAGGCUAUUUGGGGGCAGCCAUGGGAUGCACGGAUUCGGUCUUCGGCAUUUGGGGCCGUCGAUUUCCAUUUGGGCUGGCGCCUUGCGAAUCUCACCGUUCGUUUGGUCUUCAUCGCAUCUCAUCUGUUCAUUCGUUGGUUCAACCAUCUUUCAUCCUCUGUCCAACGUUCGUCUGAGAGAUUUUCGAUCUGCUAGUUCUUCCAUUGCUGAUGGGUUUCUGAGCAUACUGUUGAAUCCUCGAUUCCUUGCCCAAAUUGAUUCCAUAGUUUUUAUUCUUUGAGUUUAGCAUUGAUGCUGCGUUUUUGGUGGUGUAGGGUUAUGAGAGAGAAUUUUCAAAUCUUUGAUGACAACGACAAUGCAGAGAUAGUUGUUUUGUGAUUUUGAUUGUUUAGAGGGUGACUUUUGCAUAGGUAACUCCAUUUCCUUUUAUUGUUAAAAUUUCUGCUUUUAGUGAAUUUAAGGGUGAGAUAUGCAAUUGCAAUUGUGCUUGGAAAAUUUAAACUUCAGAUAUGCAAUUGCUCAUAUUUGACUUUCUGAUAUUGCUACGUAUAGGGUGAUUUAAAUUUUUUCUCCUAAAUUUGAACUGUAUUGUUCUAUUGCUGAUAACCUCCAUUUGUGUCUUCUAUUGUCUCCAUUCCACAUUUCUUUUCUCUGUAGGAAGUAUUGAAGGAUGUGUCGAUUUGGGAGAGAAGAAUUAUAAGUGCAUUUACUGUGGUGCACUUUUUUGGUUAAAAGAAUCCAUUCAGCAGGUACAAGAACUUGACAGUGUGCAAGCCUGAACUAAUCUUUUGUCGUGUUUUUUGGCCGGUUGAUUGAUAUUUAGCAAAUGCAUAUAAAACACAAAUUUAAAAGUUCAUUUUUUUGCUUGGUCAUUAAAGCAAGAAGAAGCGUGUAAGCAAGCAACUGCCCAAAUAUAUUUCUCUCUCUCUCUCUCUCUCGAUUUUGCAAGGAUCUCCUAAAUACUUGGAGAAGACUGAGAAUUCCACAAAGCAUCGCAAUUCUAACGACACUUGGCUGCUCACUUUAAAGGUAACCCAAAACAAUUAAGAAAUUUGUUCUUCUUUUGCCAUAAAUCUUUGUGUUUCCUUUAGAGUUGUGCAGGAAAGCUACUGGUUGCUAAUUUUGUUUAGUCUUUUUUCUCAAGUUAUAAUAAAUAUCUUAACCAGUUUUUGGGUGUUUACUGAAGUUCAUGAUUGGUAAUUGAUAUUAAGUUCUGUUCAUAUCAGUUUAUGCUUUGUGUGUGUGUGUGUGUGUUGAGGAAAAGUUGGAAGCAUGAAAGCUACAUAUACAACAUGUGAUUUGCAAAUUAUUCUUAUUCAUUUUCUCAAUUAGUCUCAUGCAAUAAAAAGUAAAGUCAAAUUGUUGUUGAAUCACUGUUUUGAUUGGUCAUUGCAGAACAGUUUGUGGGUAUGGAAGUACUCUCAUACAGUUCUGCACCAUGCUAUGAUACUUUAUUAGUCUCAUGCAAUAAAAGGUAAAGUCAAAUUGUUGUUGAAUCCCUGUUUUGAUUGGUCAUUGUAGAACAGUUUGUGGGUAUGGAAGUACUCUCAUACAGUUCUGCACCAUGCUAUGAUACUUUUAAUUUAAGGUGGAAAUUGAUUGUGAAAAGCUCAAGUUCACAUCAAUUCAGUCUCCUAGGUUUUAGAAAAAACAGAGUUUUUGGUGCUAAAUUUGAUGUUAGAAAGAAGUUUUUGAGCUGUUACAAUUUAGAUCAGCCUUUCUUGAAGCAACUAAAUCACCAAGGAGGUUUUAGGUCAUUAGACACCGGUGAAAACUUCAAACAUGUUGGUCCAAUUUUAUCAAGUGGAAGCUCUGAUGGCUACGUAAUUAAAAGGGAAGAGAAUGAAAGUAUUUCAGAAAUAGGGGAACCAGUAACUAAAGUUUUGAUUCCUGGUCUACCAGAUGAAUCCAAAGGUGAAUCAGGUGCGCCAGUAAAUAGUUGCUUUUGGGAAUGGAAGCCCGAAUUCAGUGUGCAUUAUGAGAAAGCUGGAUGUGAAACCUUAGGCUCCCUUCCAGUGCUGUUUCUGCCUGGUUUUGGGGUUGGUUCCUUUCACUAUGAGAAGCAACUGAAGGAGUUGGGGCUUGAUUUUAGAGUACGGGCUAAGCAGCUGAAUGGAUGGUGUGUAUAUCUAUAUUUGGAUGGUAUGUACUUGGAUUCAUUGAAACAAUUGAGAUUGAGUGCUUAUAUCUUAGCAGCUGACUUUGAGCCUUAAAAUUUUCAGAUAUUUAUGAUGACCCAUUCUUGGGCCCAUUGCAAUAAUUGAGAUUUGAGUGCUUAGGUCUAAGCAGCUGAAUUUGAGUCAUUAAUUUUUCAGAUGUGUAUGAUUUUGAUUGUUCCGUCAGGUUUCUUUAUUAGUUAUUUUCCCCUAAUCACAAUUGUUUCACUUCCAGAAACUAAUGGCAUCAUUCGUUCAUUUUGCAAGAUUGGUGUAUACUAUGGUACUCCACAAGCGACAUUUGGAGGAAUUGCAUUAAAAUUCUUUGCCUCAGUUCGGCUUGAAAUAUGUUCUACAGGGAAGAUAAAGUCUGUAAGAACAAUAGCCAUUGUUUCUUAUUGCAUGACAGCUUUUUGAUGGAUGAGUAUAUUUAUCUCUUAGGUCAUCUAAUAAAGUUUGAUCUAUGUUGUUUGCUCAUAGAACGUACUUCUGUACUGAUUAGGUAAAUGGAGAGGAAGUAAUUGGAGUUCGGGUUCAUGUAAGAGUGCAAAAGAGCAAGGUAAUUUUGAAUGCAUCAAAAUGGAUUCUGUAUCUAUGAGGGUUGUACACCAUGUACAGAAAUAACAUUUCUAUUACUUUUGCCUUUAUGAUUACUUGAGCAGUAAUUGCACUUUCAAUAUAAAUUUCAUAACUGGUAUGAAGUAUGACAAGUUGUCUUGCCAAUUCUUAAAGGUUAUGUCUAAUUUCUCAAAGAUUUUUGUCCCAAUUCUACACUUUGCUAUAAGUGCAGCCUGUGACCAUGAAAACAAUUGUAACAAUCGACAAAUUGUUAAAUUCCCCUUUUGAUUUUUCUGAUAUUAUGAAACUGCUUCCAUCCUUUUUGAAGGCUAAUGAUUUUGUUAUGAUAUUUGCUUAUGCUUUUGGAAGAGAGACUUUUGUCGAUUGCAAUCUCCUGAUUCCCAGAUUUUGCCAAACCUUUAGUAAAACUUAAUGAUUGCAGUUAAUUAUAUCUCUUAUUUAAUGUGUUUCAUCCACUUUGUUAUGUUUCUAUUUUGAAAGAUGCUUAUCCUAUAUUUUUGUUGUUGUUGUGGAUUUUCAAUUUUUGUAAGAUGUUAACCGUGUACGAGAGAGUCAAGAAGAGGCGGUGAGUAGAAGGAGGUUCUUUGCAGGCUAGACAAGGUUGAAAAUGGUUUUUUUUUUUCUCUCCCUAUUUUCCUUCAAAACUUUUUGUUCACUUAUUCUCCUUGAAUUUUAUGUUCAAAGUAGUUAAAUUUUCGUCCAAAAUGUUUUAUUUGUGUUUCUUGAUUUGAAUGAAAGUUUGGUAUUUCAUCCUUCUUUUUGGGUUUCUUUCAUUUCAUACUGUCUUCGUAUUUUCCUUUUCCUUUUCCUUUUGGGUUUAUUAAAAUAUUGAUCAUAUUUUAAUAAACAUGACAAGCAACAUAUAAAACAUGUUAUUAGUCUUUAUUUUGUAACUUAAACUUGCUACAUAUUUUCACAACUUUGUAGACAUUUUAGACGAUUUUAAAACCGCAACAUCGUGCGGGGACCUUUGCUAGCGUUAACUAUAUUGAUUAGUUGUAAUUAGUUAAGAAGCUAGUUAGUAAGUUAGGUGCAAGAUCAUUUCGCUUACCGUGGC